GAUGAAGAACGCAGCGAAAUGCGAUAAGUAAUGUGAAUUGCAGAAUUCAGUGAAUCAUCGAAUCUUUGAACGCACAUUGCCCCCCCUGGUAUUCCGGGGGGCAUGCCUGUCCGAGCGUCAUUACAACCCUCAAGCUCAGCUUGGUGUUGGGCCCCGCCGCCCCGGCGGGCCCUAAAGUCAGUGGCGGUGCCGUCCGGCUCCGAGCGUAGUAAUUCUUCUCGCUCUGGAGGUCCGGUCGUGUGCUCGCCAGCAACCCCCAAUUUUUUUCAGGUUGACCUCGGAUCAGGUAGGGAUACCCGCUGAACUUAAGCAUAUCAAUAAGCGGAGGA
rnacentral:misc_RNA from 1 species